rnacentral:rRNA from 1 species
GACGUAGGGCGCGAGCGUUGUCCGGAUUUAUUGGGCGUAAAGAGCUCGUAGGCGGCUUGUCGCGUCGUCCGUGAAAACCUGCAGCUCAACUGCAGGCUUGCGGUCGAUACGGGCAGGCUAGAGUUCGGUAGGGGAGACUGGAAUUCCUGGUGUAGCGGUGAAAUGCGCAGAUAUCAGGAGGAACACCGGUGGCGAAGGCGGGUCUCUGGGCCGAUACUGACGCUGAGGAGCGAGAGCGUGGGGAGCGAACAGG